CGGCCACAUCACGUUAACUCAUCGGUUCCCGUACGAUCAACGUAGUUAAGCAACAUCGGACCUUGUCAGUACCUAGAUAGGUGACCGCUUGGGAAUACCAAGUGCUGUAA